CCUACGGGAGGCAGCAGUGAGGAAUAUUGGUCAAUGGUCGGGAGACUGAACCAGCUAAGCCGCGUGAGGGAGGAAGGUACAGAGUAUCGUAAACCUCUUUUGUCAGGGCACAAAGGCGGGGACGUGUCCCCGGAUGAGUGUACCUGAAGAAAAAGCAUCGGCUAACUCCGUGCCAGCAGCCGCGGUAAUACGGAGGAUGCGAGCGUUAUCCGGAUUUAUUGGGUUUAAAGGGUGCGCAGGCGGUCUGUUAAGUCAGCGGUCAAAGCCCGGGGCUCAACCCCGGAACUGCUCUGGAAACUGUGCGGCUAGAGUACUGGAGGGGCAGGCGGAAUUCCUAGUGUAGCGGUGAAAUGCGUAGAUAUUAGGAGGAACACCAGUGGCGAAGGCGGCCUGCUGGACAGUAACUGACGUUGAGGCUCGAAAGCGUGGGGAGCAAACAGGAUUAGAUACCCCAGUAGUC
rnacentral:rRNA from 1 species